rnacentral:lncRNA from 1 species
AAAAAGGAAUGGAACAUAAUAGCUCUGUAGCCUCUCAAAGAAAAGUACAGAUGUCUCCGUACCGAUCCGUAAGACUCUACUUAACUCGCUUAUGACUUGUAGCACCUAUGAACCUAGAGCUCUGAUACCAACUUGUCACGAUCCAAUUUUCCCUACGUUGGGUUUCGUGAUGGCAUCUAGUCUUAGGGACUAGGUAAGCCUAGCAAUUUCUGAAUAUCAACAAUAAGGAAAAUCCAACAGUCUUAAUAUAAUCUUUACAAAUUUAUAGUCUUCCCAAAAUUGGUAGUACAAGUCAUAAGCUCUACAAAGUUUCACUACAACUUCUAAACCAAUCGUAUGGAAAUAAGUACAACAGUGUGAAUAUAAAAUAGGAAGGUGACUCCGAGGCCUGCGAACAUAGCAACAGGAUUACCUUGAGUCUCCACCGGAAGGACCCGCACAACUACUAUCGAUCAAAUACCUGUAUCUGUACACAAAAAUAUACAGAAGUAUAGUAUGAGCACACCAUAGCAGUGCCCAGUAUGUAUCAAGACUAACCUCGGUAGAGUAGGGACGAGGAACAGUCAAGGCACCUACUGGUCAAAUAAAUUGAACAUGAUAUAGCGAUAAACUAUUGGAAUACGAUAACAAGGUAACAUCAGCAGCAGGGAGAAACUUAACCACAAACAGUAGAACAAUAAAGGGAAACAUGGAUAGAAACGAAGAUAACCAAGUAAAUUAACACCAACAUAGCUGGGAGAUAGACAAGAAAAAUGCACUCAAAUAAGAAAGGCGAUCUGAACUCAAUAAAUCAUAUCAUAUCUGAUGCAUAAUUCCAGCCAUCUCAAACUUGAUGUCUCAUAUCAUAACCUCAACUACCAAACCUUUAGCACACCCGGUACCUCGUGCCCACUUAUUUCUAUCUCACUUUGCGCAACAACGCUCUCAUGCUACUCAGUACAUAGGGUCCAUAACUAAUGCAAUUAAGAUGUUCGAGAAGUCUCAUUUACAUAACUUAAAGUAGAGUACAGUUUAUAAACCAACUAGGAGCUCAACAAGAAAAGACGAAGUUAUUAUUAGAAAUCAUUUGAAUAAAGAAGGUACCAUUUUCAAUUAAAAUACAACAUCGGAUGAUUAUCACCUUUAACAAGGGAUUUAAUAAAUUAACUAAGUAGAAAUUCCUUUUUUAGUAAAAUACAACAUCAAACCGUUUAAGGAAAAUUUAAUUGAGAAAUUAAUUGGGUUAAAAACAUAACAAUUGUUGAAAUUUGAUGUAUUGAAAUAUAUAUAAAAAUAAGGCGACGUAUUGUAAACAAUAUGGAUUCCAAGACAAAGGAUCAUAGAAGUAAAGGAAUCUAAACCGUUAAAUAACAACAAUUACAACAGAGACAAAAUAAUCACAAAAGGAGUAUAACUCAAUGCAAAGAUAACAAACGGGGAUCUCCCAAGAUACCGUCAUGUAGUCCCAAAUGUAAAUACUCGGGGAUCUCUCAGUAUCCUCCGUAUAUGAGCUAGGGAUCUCUUGGUAUCCCGAGGAUCUCUUGGUAUCCUCAAUAUAUGUGCUGGGGAUCUCUUGGUAUCCCGAGGAUCUCUUGGUAUCCUCAAUAUAUGUGAUGCGGAUCUCUUGGUAUCCUGAUAAUCUCUUGGUAUCCUCAAUUUAUGUGCUGGGGAUCUCUUGGUAUCCUCAAUAUAUGUGCUGGGGAUCUCUUGUAUCCCGAGGAUAUCUUGAGGAUAUAAGUGUUGGGGAUCUCUUGGUAUCCCAAGGAUCUCUUAGUAUCCUCAACAUAAAAGUGCAGGGGGAUCUCCCGGGAUAUCGUCCCAUAGUCCCAAAGUAAACAUAUAGGGGGAUCUCCCGGGAUACCGUCCCGUAAUCCCAAAGUAAAAGCACAACAGUAAUACGAAGAAUACAAAAAAACAAUCCAACAACCCAAUCACAAGGAAUUCCACCACCAAGAGUAUGAAUACACGACAAUAAGAGAAUCACUGGAAAACCAAGAAGCACAAUAACCUUGACAAAACAACAAGACAUAAUAGGCAUAUGAUAACUACACCGACAACCACAACAAUUUGGACACCUAGCAUAUAUACACGGGGUCAUAGAAGAAUUCACAAUUUAGAGAUAACAAAACGAUAAGAAGAACAAUCGCUUCAGUUAAGGCAAAAAGGCCACGUAACAAGUAAGAGUUAGAGGGAAGCUAACAACAUCGUAUGGAGCAUAUAGAUGUAAAUUAAGCAAUUAGGAAACUUAAUCAUAACGGAAUACUUCCCACAUAAUGAACAUAAGGGCCUAAGAAACCUAAAGGCAAAUUUCCCACAAAUAAGUCUGAGCACACACUCGUCACCUCGCGUGCACAGACUACAAAUAGCAUAGAAGACUCAAAUCCUAAGGGAAAGUCCCCCACACAAGGUUAGGCAAGAUACUUACCUUGAACCAAGGUCAAAUCAAAUCCAAAAUCACGCUCUUGCCACGAGUAUCCAACUCCGGGUGGCCCAAAUCUAGUCAAAUCAAUUACAUAACGUAAAUAUAACUAUAAACAACUAAUUUAGCUAAUGAAAUCGAAGCUAAUACAAGAAAAUAGAAAAAUGUCCAAAAAUCCCCAUUGGGGUCGUAUCUCGGAACUCGACAAAAAUCACGGAAUAUGAACCCCCAUCCAACCACGAGUCCAACCAUACCAAUUUUGCUAAAUUCUGACAUCAACUCGACCCUCAAAUUUUCAACUAAAGUCUUGGAAGAUUUCUGCCAUUUUCAACCCAAAAAUGAGUAAUCUAGUCGGAAUAUUCGAUGAUAAUCCCAUACGAUUGACUAACAAUAACCACAAGUGACUUAUCUCAAGUUUCCCAUAAAUUCUUGCUCAAAAAUCAUCCAAAACAAAAUGGAAAACUAGGGUAUAGAACCUUACCUCUUUGAUGAAGAUUUUGUGAUAAUUCCUUGUUAAUCUUCAAAGAUUUGAGUAAGAAUUGAAGAAUGAUUUGAUGAAGAUCACUUUCUCACUCUACGGAUCCCUCUCUCGCUCUAAAGCAUCCGAAUUUUGCUCAAAAAUGAUCCAAAAUAAACCCCAAAGCCUAUUUAUCAAAAUGAGGUCGGGUUAUUAAAAUAGAAAAAUUAACCCUCCGAAAUCAGGUAUGCGAUCUCAUAAUCCAUCGUAUAAUGGGUAUGCAGGUCACAGAUGCGUCGUGAAACUCGGUGCCUAGAACUGGGCUGUUCUGCUUCAUUCUGCGGCCAUUUUGUGAUUGCAUAAUGAUUUUGCGGUUCGCAUAGUUAUUUUGCGAUCGCACAUUUGACCGCAGAAUCGCAUUUUUUCAGCUUUUGGUAAUUUGGUCAUAACUUUGUGUAGGAAUGUCCAAAUGACAAACGGUUUGAAGAGUUGGAAACUAGACUCAGAGAUCUUUAAUUAGAUAGGUUGUACAUCACAUUUCACCUUAUAUACAUGUAUAUAUGCUCAUCCAAAGUAGGCUCUUGUGCGCAUUCUCUUAAAUUUUUAGCAUAUUAUGAAAUUUUCCAACUUGGCUUAGUAUUAGGACUUUACUUAGACCCCAUAUAUCUUAUAAUAUGCCUUGUACACUUAUUAUCAUAUACAAUUGGUAUCCAACAUGUUAAUAGACCCCUUCCGCACGUAAAAUAAUAUAAUUAGAACACAUCAACUUUCUUAUUUCGCCAAAAUGCGCCUAAUUGUCCUACAGACUUCCAUAUCCAAAUACGGACACACGUAUAAGUCCGAAAUCUCCAUACGAAGCUAUUGGCAUCAUUAAAAAUUCAUUCCGAGGUCGUUUGCUCAAAAGUCAACUCUUCGGUCAACUUUUUCCAUUUGAACUUCAAAAUAAGAAUUUGUUUUUCUUUAAAUUUAACUCUGAAUCUUACGAAAACCAAAUUCGACCAUACAGGCGGGUCAUAAUGCAUAUUACAAAGCUUCUCAAGGUCUUAAGCUGUUGAACGAGACGCUAAUUCUUAAAAUAAUAGGUCGGGUCGUUACACAUUUAACUUCACAAUAUUGAUUCACAACUAGAGUCAAUACUCAACAAAUAUCUAAUACCUGGAAAACAUAAUAAGACUUGUUUAACAUGAUGAAUAACCAGUUUAAGCACGAACAAUACGUAUAAAGAAACAUAACAGUCACAAGUAUAAGAUUCACUUGCAUGCGAUGACCCGACAACAACGUAUAGAUACUCGUCACCUCACCUAUAUAUCGUACUCAACAACUAAACAUGUAGCAAAUAAGGCAACAAUACCUAAUACCUCAAGCUAAGGUUAGCCACAACACUUACCUCGAUUCCACGGCCAAACUCAAGCCUCAAUUACCGCUUUUUCCUCAAGAUUCCACCCCCAAUCCACUUGUAUCUAAUCAUAAUUAACUUAGUAAUAACAAUUAUCGCUAAAGAAAUCAAUUCCAUUGCAUAAUUACAAUUUCCCAACAUUUUUCCCAAAAAGUCGAAAACCAACCCCGGGCCCGCUUGGUCAAAACUCAAAGUUCAGAUCAAAACCCGAUUACCCAUUCACCCCUGAGCCUGGAUAUACAAUUGGUUUUGGAAUCUGACCUCAAUUUGAUGUCUAAAUCCCCAAAUUUUGAAAUUCCUAAAUUCUACCGGAAACACCCAAUUCCACCAUGAAAACCCUAGAUUUUGUGAUAAAAAUUUGUAAAAAGAUGAAAUAGAUUGAAAGAAAUGAGUUAAGAAUCAUUUACCUAUGAUUUGGGGAAGAAAUGGUCUUUGGAAAAUCGCCUCUUGAAGUUUAGGGUUUGAAAAUUUGAGAAAUGAAUCCAAAAUCCCGUCCAAAACUCAUUUUGAAUAGUUGCAGUUAUCGCAUUUGCGAUCACAGAUUCUCAAAUGCGAACUCGCAAAUGCGGACAUUACUUUGCUAAUGCGAAGGUUGUCCUGGCCUGUUGGUGUCGCAAAUGGGAACAAAUAUUCGCAAAUGUGGCCCCUGUUCUAGUCGCAAUUGCGACGAUGAGCUUCUCAAUUGCAAAGGUCCCCUCCCAGCCUACUGAUCCCAAAUGCGAAGAUUCUUCGCAAAUGCAAUGCUUGCAUAUUCGAGCCAGACUUCGCAUUAGACCUGCAACAUACCAGAAAAUUUUCCUAAAGUCCAAAAUCAUUCCGUAGCCUAUCCAAAACUCACCCGAGCCCUCGGGCUCCAAACCAACCAUGUACACAAGUCUUAAUACAUCAUACGAACUUGCUCAUGCGACCAAAUCCCCAAAAUAACACAUAUAACUAUGAAUUCAACACCAAAACACAUAAAAAUUUUAAGAUAGUUUGAAACUUCCUAUUUUCUCAACCAUAGGUUCGAAUCACGUCAAAUCACUUCCAUUUUUUCUCAAAAUUUUACAGAUAAUUUUAAAUAUUAUGACGGACCUGUACCGGGCUCCGAAACCAAAAUACGGGCCGGAUAAUAACAAGUUCAAAUAUUAUUCAAUUUCCAUAAACUAUUAUAUUUCCAGUUUAACAAUUUUCUUUAAAAAUUUAUUUCUCGGGCCAGGGACCUCAGAAUUCAAUUCCGGACAUAUGCCCAAGUCCCAUAUUUUACUAUGGACCCUCCAGGACCAUCAAAUCACGGGUCCAGGUUCGUUUGCCCAAAAUGUUGACCAAAGUCAACUUGAAUCAAUUUUAAAGGCAAAACUCAAUAUUUUUCUCAAAUUUUCAUAUAAGGGCUUUUCGAAAGCACGCCCGGACUGCACACGCAAAUCGAGGAAAAAAUAAGGUUUUCAAGGCCUUGGAACACAAAAUCGGAUUCUAAAACAAAAGAUGACCCUUUGGGUCAUCACAUUCUCCACCACUAAAUCAACCGUUCAUCCUCGAAUGGACAUAGAAUAAUGCUUGAGUCGGUGAAAAUAUGGGAAUAUCUGCUCCUCAUAUCGGACUCGGACUCCCAGGUAGCUCCCUCAAUAGGAUUACCUCUCCAAUGCACACGAAUCGAAGGGUAACUCUUCGAUCUCAACUGGCAAACCUGUUUGUCUAAAAUGGCUACCGACUCCUCCUCCCAAGCUAAAUCCUUGUCCAGCUGGACAGUGCUUAAAUCUAAUACGUGGAAUGCAUCGUCGUGAUACUUCCGAAGCAUGGACACGUGAAACACUGGAUGCACAACUGAUAAACCUGGCGGCAACGCAAGUCUGUAAGCCACCUCUCCCACUCGAUCAAGGAUCUCAAAAGGCCUGAUGUACCUAGGGCUUAGCUUUCCCUUCUUCGCAAAACUCAUCACGCCUUUCAUGGGCGACACCCGAAGCAACACUCUCUCUCUGACCAUGAAUGCUACGUGACGAACCUUAUGGUCGGCAUAACUCUUUUGCCUGGAUUGAGCUGCACAAAGUCUAUCCUGAAUGAUCUUAACCUUAUCCAAGGCAUCCUGUACUAAAUCUGUACCUAACAACUGAGCCUCUCCCGACUCAAACCAUCCCACCGGCGAUCGAUACUGUCUACCAUACAACGCCUCAUAGAGAGCCAUCUGGAUGCUCGAUUGAUAAUUGUUGUUGUAGACAAACUCCGCUAAUGGCAAGAACUGAUCCCAAGAACCUCCAAAGUCAAUAACACAGGCGCGGAGCAUAUCCUCCAAAAUCUGAGUAGUACGCUCGGACUAUUUGUCCGUCCGAGAAUGAAAUGCUGUGCUCGACUCAACCUACUUACCCAACUCAUGCUGAACUUGCCUCCAGAAAUACGAGGUAAACUGCAUACCUCGAUCAGAAAUGAUAGUCACGGGCACACCAUGGAGACAAAUGAUCUCAUGGAUAUAAACCUCUACCAAUCACUCAUAAGAAUAUAAAACUGCCACAUGAAUGAAAUACGCUGACUUGGUCAUCCUAUCCACAAUAAUCCAUACUGCAUCGAACUUUUUCUGAGUCUAGGGAGUCCAACAACGAAAUCCAUAGUGAUAUGCUCCCACUUCCACUCAGGGAUCUCAAUCUUCUGAAGUAAACCACCAGGUCUAUGCUCGUACUUUACCUGUUGACAAUUCAAACUCCGAGCUACAUACGCAACAAUAUCAUUCUUCCUCCUCCUCCACCAAUAAUGCUGCCGUAAGUCCUGAAACAUCUUGUCGGCGCUCGAAUGAAUAGAGUAUUGGUAUUUUGGACCUCCUCUAGAAUCAACUCACGAAGUCCAUCCACAUUGGGCACGCAAAUACGACCGUACAUCCUCAAAACUUCAUCAUCUCCAACUAUAACCUGCUUGGAAUCUACGUGCCGCAUUGUGUCCCUAAGGACAAGUAGAUGAGGGUCAUCACACUGCCGAUCUUUGAUAUGCUCAAAUAAUGAAGACAGAGUGACUGUACAAACUAGAACACGACUAGGCUCCGAAACAUCCAGCCUCACGAACUGAUUGGCCAAAGCCUGAACAUCUAAAACAAGCGGUCUCUCACUGACUAGAAUAUACUCAAGGCUACCCAUAUUAGCCGACUUCCUACUCAAAGCAUCAGCCACUACAUUGGCCUUCCCGGGAUGAUACAAGAUGGUGAUAUCAUAGUCUUUCAAUAGCUCCAACCACCUCCUCUUCCUUAAAUUUAACUCUUUCUUCUUGAACAAGUAUUGCAAACUCUUGUGAUCCAUGAACACCUCACACGACACGCCAUAUAAAUAAUGCCUCCAAAUCUUCAGCGUGUGAACAAUGGUUGCUAGCUCCAAAUCAUGAACCAGAUAGUUCUUCUCAUGAAUCUUCAACUGCCGUGAAGCAUAUGCAAUAACCUUUCCAUUCUGCAUCAAUACCACACCAAGUCCAAUACGAGAUGCGUCAUAAUACACUGUAUAUGGCCCUGAACCUGUAGGCAACACCAACACCAAUGCCGUAGUCAAAGUUGUCUUAAGCUUCUGAAAGCUCGCCUCACACUCAUCCGACCAUCUGAAUGAGCAACACUUCUGGGUCAACUUGGUUAUCGGGGCUGCUAUGGAUGAAAACCCCUCCACAAACCGAAGGUAGUAACCCCCCAAGCCCAAGAAACUCCGGAUCUCUGUAGCUGAUGUGGGUCUAGGCCAAUCCUUAACUGCCUCAAUCUUCUUAGGAUCCACCUGAAUACCCUCUACUGAUACAACGUGACCCAAGAAAGCAAUUGAACUCAACCAAAAUUCACACUUUUAAAACUUAGCAUAUAAUUGGCUGUCUCUUAGAGUCUGAAGAAUGACUCGAAGAUGCUGCUCAUGCUCCUCUUGGGUGCGGGAGUAGAUCAAGAUAUCAUCAAUAAAUACAAUCACUAAGGAAUCCGAAUAGGGAUUGAACACUCGGUUCAUCAAAUUCAUGAACGCUAUUGGGGAAUUUGUCAAACCAAAUGACAUCACUAGAAAAUCAUAAUGCCUGUACCGAGUCCAAAAAGCUGUCUUAAGGACAUCGGAUGCCCUAAUCCUAAACUGAUGGUAGCCAGACCUCAAAUCAAUCUUUGAAAACACCUUGGCAUCCUGAAGCUGAUCAAAUAAAUCAUCGAUCCUCGGCAAUGAAUACUUGUUCUUAAUGGUGACUUUGUUCAACUGCCGAUAGUCUAUGCACAUCCUCAUUGACCCAACCUUCAUCUUAACAAACAACAUCGGCACACCCCAGGGCGAGACACUAGGUCUAAUAAAGCCCUUGUCAAGCAAAUUUUGCAACUGUUCCUUAAAUUCUUUCAACUCUAGCGGGACCAUGCGGUACAACGGAAUAGAAAUGGGCUAAGUGCCCGGAGCCAAAUCAAUACAAAAGUCCAUAUCCCUAUCGGGUGGCAUCCCAUGCAGGUUUGCAAGAAAUACCUCAGGAAACUCACGAACUACUGGUACGGAAUCCAUGGAAGGAACCUCUGCAUUGGAAUCACGAGCAUAAGACAAAUAAGCCAAACACCCAUUCUCCACCAUACGCCAAGCCUUCACAUAAGAAAUGACCUUACUGGUAGAAUGACCAGGAGUCCCUCUCCACUCCAAUCAAGACAACCCCGGCAAGGCUAAGGUCAUGGUGUUGGCGUGACAGUCCAGUAUAGCAUGAUAAGGUGACAGCCAAUCCAUCCUCAAAUGACAUCAAAGUCGACCAUAUCAAGAAGUAGGAGAUCUACACGGGUCUCAAGACCCCCAAUAAUAACCACACACGAGCUAUAGACACGAUCUACAAUAAUAAAAUCACCCACCGAUGUGGACACAUAUACCGGAGCACUCAAAGAAUCACGAGGCACAACCAAAUACGUAAAAAAAUAAGAUGACACAUAAUAGUAUGUAGACCCUGGAUCAAAUAGAACUGAAGCAUCUCUACUGCAAAUUGAAACUGUACCGGUGAUAAUGGCAUCGGAUGCCUCAGCCUCGAGCCUGGCUGGGAAAGGAUAGCAUUGGGGUUGGGCCCUACCAUUCUGAAUUACAUCCCUGGGACAGCCUCCUGCCGGCUGGCCUCUGUCACACCUCCUUUUUACCUACACCCGGAAGGGUGUAAGGGAGUUUUUCCAAUUAAAGUGACAAUCGAAACGGGAUUAUUUUAUUUAAAAAUUCAAAGUCCCCACUUGGGAUAAUUUAUGGUGUCCCAAGUCACCGAUUUAGAAUCCCGAAUCGAGGAAAUAUUGACUCUGUUUUUCAGUCUGCGAACAUAGAAAUCCGGGUAAGGGAUUCUGUUAACCCGGGAGAAAGUGUUAGGCAUUCCCGAGUUCCAUGGUUUUAGCACGGUCGCUCAACUAUUAUUACUGGCCUAAUUAUCUGAUUUUAAAAACACUUUUAAACCUAUGGUGCAAUUUUAACUUAUUAACCACUUUUAAUUAAUUUUAGGAAGAUUCAACGUUAUCUAAAACACGUCUUGAACCACGCCAUAUGAAAUGCACCCACGGUCUGCAACAUAUUUUAUUUAACGUUGUUGAGAUUUGAAUUUGGGUCACAUAAAUGCACACCCGAGUUUAGGAAAUUAAUUUUUAAAUAGCAUGUCUAUAGCAACUAUGCUCUUUCAACUUUGCGAGGUCCAUGAAAAUUCAACUAAAUGGCACGCCUCGAUUUCUAAGGAUUAAAAAUUAAUUCAAUGAGGGCCAUGCAUUUGAGAUUUUUGUUUGGCACGACACACCUCAAAUUAUUUCAAAGUGGUUUUAUUAUCCGAAAUUGUUAUGAUUAGGUCACAUGAAAUGCACCCCCGAAUUUUGAAAUUAUAAAUCACAACUACGUCACGGGAACCAUACCAGUAGCCAUGAUAAUUUAAUUAUGUGCCUAAAGCAAACUAUGAUGAUUUCUGAUUAUUUUUCCUAAAAAUAGAUUAACCUUUCAUUCAAACAAGAUCCAAUUUCAAAUUUAAUGUCUUCAACAUAAUUGGCAUGAACUUAAAUAAUCAGAAUACUCCAAGUUUAAUCACGAUUCACUCAAAACGCAAAAUUAGCAUCACAUGGACUAACUUUUUUUUCGUCAAUCUGGGAACAUAAAACUUAAACUCAAUAGCAUAGACUAAAACGAUAUGUGAUACUACCAACUAUAUUUCUGAGUUGUAUAUCAUAUGCUUAUUUGGCUCACUUUUCUUUGCUAUAAAAAUACACUAAUUAAAGCACUAUCUUUUCCAGUUCAGCCACAUCAAUUUUUUUGCCAAUUCAAUCAGUUUCUUUUAAUGGCCCUCCAAAUACCUAUACUGCCUUAUAGGAAAGGAAAAUAAUUUUUUAUGAGUCAUGGAAAUCAUUGUGAAGUACAACUGAUACGUUCUAUUAUAAAUUUCACAUCGCUAUUGCAAAUUAAACAUAAUAUCAACCCAAGGUCUCCAUGAAUCAGAUUCAAUACCAAAUAAAGCAAUUAACAUAUCUCAAAUUAGAGAGGCGUGAGUGGACCUUUGAUGUUUAACUCGACCAAACAAAAGCCUUCAAUCAGAGACGAAAACUUAAUCAGCAGAACAAAACGAUAAUAGGACAACGCCGCCGAUCACAAACGGAACUUCGAACAGAACCUCACAUUCAUAACAUUGUAAUAACAUUGUAAUAUAACCAGAAUAAUAUGAAAGAAGUAAUCUUACCACCAAAAAUGGAAACCUCGAACCAGACCAGAAAACCUGCCGGAGCCGCGACAAAACUCCACAACGGGCCUCGUCGGAACCACGGACAGAACCUCAUCGUGAACUCAACCCGACUCAAACUCUGAACUCGCCGGAUUCCAGGGUUUUAAAUUGACAAUCAGAAGAAGAAACUAACAUUUGAAACAAAAAUCAAAGGACUUGAAUGCGAAGUCUGUCCUCCGUUUUUGUCGUUCGUCCCUUCACCACAAAAUCCCCAAAUUUCUUUUGCUAUGUCACUAUGUGUUUAUAUGAAGAAUCCCCAAUUGAAUAAAGUGUUUUUUGUUUGAGAAGAAAAUUUCAAAUGUAUGGCUGCUAUGAUAUUUGAAGAAGGAGGUGCCUCCUUUAUCCCUAAGUCAGCUUUUUAGUCUUUUCUUGGCAUUUCAGCUGAUGCAUUUUUGGGAGUCGACCAUGGGAACGACGGAUUCCAUUUUUGCAGAGUGUUUUUUUUGGCCUCCUCCUUAUAUUUUAUGUGUAGGUCCUAUUAUAUAGGGGUAGGG